UACGUAGGGUGCAAGCGUUAAUCGGAAUUACUGGGCGUAAAGCGUGCGCAGGCGGCUUUGCAAGACAGAUGUGAAAUCCCCGGGCUCAACCUGGGAACUGCAUUUGUGACUGCAAGGCUGGAGUACGGCAGAGGGGGAUGGAAUUCCGCGUGUAGCAGUGAAAUGCGUAGAUAUGCGGAGGAACACCGAUGGCGAAGGCAGCCCCCUGGGAUAACACUGACGCUCAUGCACGAAAGCGUGGGGAGCAAACAGG
rnacentral:rRNA from 1 species